GUCGCUUCUAGGCCUUUUGGCUAAGAUCAGGAGGUAGCAUCUUUUCUUAUCAGUUUAAUAUCUAGUAUGUCCUCCAGGUGAGGACAGCAUAUUAAGUGGAUUUUUGAACUGUGGGGGUGAAAUUGGAGCUCGCUUUACUCCAUGCAGUAUUGCAGUGCUUCUGAAAACUACCCAUU
rnacentral:snRNA from 1 species